UCGAACGGGAAAUAUUUCAUUGAGACUUCGGUGGAUUUGAUCUAUUUCUAGUGGCGGACGGGUGAGUAACGCGUGGGUAACCUGCCUUAUACAGGGGGAUAACAGUCAGAAAUGGCUGCUAAUGCCGCAUAAGCGCACAGAGCUGCAUGGCUCAGUGUGAAAAACUCCGGUGGUAUAAGAUGGACCCGCGUUGGAUUAGCUGGUUGGUGGGGUAACGGCCCACCAAGGCGACGAUCCAUAGCCGGCCUGAGAGGGUGAACGGCCACAUUGGGACUGAGACACGGCCCAGACUCCUACGGGAGGCAGCAGUGGGGAAUAUUGCACAAUGGGGGAAACCCUGAUGCAGCGACGCCGCGUGAAGGAAGAAGUAUCUCGGUAUGUAAACUUCUAUCAGCAGGGAAGAUAGUGACGGUACCUGACUAAGAAGCCCCGGCUAACUACGUGCCAGCAGCCGCGGUAAUACGUAGGGGGCAAGCGUUAUCCGGAUUUACUGGGUGUAAAGGGAGCGUAGACGGUGUGGCAAGUCUGAUGUGAAAGGCAUGGGCUCAACCUGUGGACUGCAUUGGAAACUGUCAUACUUGAGUGCCGGAGGGGUAAGCGGAAUUCCUAGUGUAGCGGUGAAAUGCGUAGAUAUUAGGAGGAACACCAGUGGCGAAGGCGGCUUACUGGACGGUA
rnacentral:rRNA from 1 species